UACGGAGGGAGCGAACGUUGUUCGGAUUCACUGGGCGUAAAGGGUGUGUAGGCGGUCUUGCAAGUUUGAGGUGAAAUCUUCCGGCUCAACCGGGAAACUGCCUUGAAGACUGCAGGACUUGAGGGCGUGAGAGGAGACUGGAAUUCCUAGUGUAGCGGUGAAAUGCAUAGAUAUUAGGAGGAACACCAGUGGCGAAGGCGAGUCUCUGGCACACAUCUGACGCUGAGACACGAAAGCCAGGGGAGCGAACGGG
rnacentral:rRNA from 1 species